GAAACUGUGUUGUGUGUUGUGUGUUGUCU
rnacentral:piRNA from 1 species